CCACAGANUGGAUAACACCUGGAAACAGAUGCUAAUACCGGAUAACAACAGAUGAUGCCUAUCAACUGUUUAAAAGAUGGUUCUGCUAUCACUCUUGGAUGGACCUGCGGUGCAUUAGCUAGUUGGUAGGGUAACGGCCUACCAAGGCGAUGAUGCAUAGCCGAGUUGAGAGACUGAUCGGCCACAUUGGGACUGAGACACGGCCCAAACUCCUACGGGAGGCAGCAGAC
rnacentral:rRNA from 1 species